AUUGAACGCUGGCGGCAGGCCUAACACAUGCAAGUCGAGCGGAUGAUGGGAGCUUGCUCCUUGAUUCAGCGGCGGACGGGUGAGUAAUGCCUAGGAAUCUGCCUGGUAGUGGGGGACAACGUUUCGAAAGGAACGCUAAUACCGCAUACGUCCUACGGGAGAAAGCAGGGGACCUUCGGGCCUUGCGCUAUCAGAUGCGCCUAGGUCGGAUUAGCUCGUUGGUGAGGUAAUGGCUCACCAAGGCGACGAUCCGUAACUGGUCUGAGAGGAUGAUCAGUCACACUGGAACUGAGACACGGUCCAGACUCCUACGGGAGGCAGCAGUGGGGAAUAUUGGACAAUGGGCGAAAGCCUGAUCCAGCCAUGCCGCGUGUGUGAAGAAGGUCUUCGGAUUGUAAAGCACUUUAAGUUGGGAGGAAGGGUUGUAGAUUAAUACUCUGCAAUUUUGACGUUACCGACAGAAUAAGCACCGGCUAACUCUGUGCCAGCAGCCGCCGUAAGAC
rnacentral:rRNA from 1 species